AUUGAACGCUGGCGGCAGGCCUAACACAUGCAAGUCGAGCGGGGUUUUCGGACCUAGCGGCGGACGGGUGAGUAAUGCGUAGGAAGCUACCCGAUAGAGGGGAUACCAGUUGGAAACGACUGUUAAUACCGCAUAAUGUCUACGGACCAAAGUGUGGGACCUUCGGGCCACAUGCUAUCGGAUGCGCCUACGUGGGAUUAGCUAGUUGGUGAGGUAAUGGCUCACCAAGGCGACGAUCUCUAGCUGGUUUGAGAGGACGAUCAGCCACACUGGGACUGAGACACGGCCCAGACUCCUACGGGAGGCAGCAGUGGGGAAUUUUGGACAAUGGGGGAAACCCUGAUCCAGCAAUGCCGCGUGAGUGAAGAAGGCCUC
rnacentral:rRNA from 1 species